GGGUUGUGAGGUUAAGUGACUAAGCGUACACGGUGGAUGCCUAGGCAGUCAGAGGCGAUGAAGGGCGUGCUAAUCUGCGAAAAGCGUCGGUAAGGUGAUAUGAACCGUUAUAACCGGCGAUACCCGAAUGGGGAAACCCAGUGUGUUUCGACACACUAUCAUGUCAUGAAUACAUAGUGGCAUGAGGCGAACCGGGGGAACUGAAACAUCUAAGUACCCCGAGGAAAAGAAAUCAACCGAGAUUCCCCCAGUAGCGGCGAGCGAACGGGGAGAAGCCCAGAACCUGAAUCGGCUUGUGUGUUAGUGGAAGCGUCUGGAAAGUCGCGCAGCAAAGGGUGAUAGCCCCGUACACUAAAAUGCACAGGUCGUGAGUUCGAUGAGUAGGGCGGGACACGUGACAUCCUGUCUGAAUAUGGGGGGACCAUCCUCCAAGGCUAAAUACUCCUGACUGACCGAUAGUGAACCAGUACCGUGAGGGAAAGGCGAAAAGAACCCCGGCGAGGGGAGUGAAAUAGAACCUGAAACCGUGUACGUACAAGCAGUGGGAGCACCUUCGUGGUGUGACUGCGUACCUUUUGUAUAAUGGGUCAGCGACUUAUAUUUUGUAGCAAGGUUAACCGUAUAGGGGAGCCGUAGGGAAACCGAGUCUUAACUGGGCGAAUAGUUGCAAGGUAUAGACCCGAAACCCGGUGAUCUAGCCAUGGGCAGGUUGAAGGUUGGGUAACACUAACUGGAGGACCGAACCGACUAAUGUUGAAAAAUUAGCGGAUGACUUGUGGCUGGGGGUGAAAGGCCAAUCAAACCGGGAGAUAGCUGGUUCUCCCGAAAGCUAUUUAGGUAGCGCCUCGUGAACUCAUCUUCGGGGGUAGAGCACUGUUUCGGCUAGGGGGCCAUCCCGGCUUACCAAACCGAUGCAAACUCCGAAUACCGAAGAAUGUUAUCACGGGAGACACACGGCGGGUGCUAACGUCCGUCGUGAAGAGGGAAACAACCCAGACCGCCAGCUAAGGUCCCAAAGUCAUGGUUAAGUGGGAAACGAUGUGGGAAGGCACAGACAGCCAGGAUGUUGGCUUAGAAGCAGCCAUCAUUUAAAGAAAGCGUAAUAGCUCACUGGUCGAGUCGGCCUGCGCGGAAGAUGUAACGGGGCUAAACCAUGCACCGAAGCUGCGGCAGCGACGCUUAGGCGUUGUUGGGUAGGGGAGCGUUCUGUAAGCCGUUGAAGGUGGCCUGUGAGGGUUGCUGGAGGUAUCAGAAGUGCGAAUGCUGACAUAAGUAACGAUAAAGCGGGUGAAAAGCCCGCUCGCCGGAAGACCAAGGGUUCCUGUCCAACGUUAAUCGGGGCAGGGUGAGUCGACCCCUAAGGCGAGGCUGAAAAGCGUAGUCGAUGGGAAACAGGUUAAUAUUCCUGUACUUGGUGUUACUGCGAAGGGGGGACGGAGAAGGCUAGGCUAGCCGGGCGACGGUUGUCCCGGUUUAAGCGUGUAGGGGGUGUGACCUGGUAAAUCCGGUUGCAUAUCAACCCUGAGGCGUGAUGACGAUGCACUACGGUGCAGAAGUAGUUGAUGCCCUGCUUCCAGGAAAAUCCUCUAAGCUCCAGGUAACAUUGAAUCGUACCCCAAACCGACACAGGUGGUCAGGUAGAGAAUACCAAGGCGCUUGAGAGAACUCGGGUGAAGGAACUAGGCAAAAUGGUGCCGUAACUUCGGGAGAAGGCACGCUGGCAUGUAGGUGAAGUCCCUUGCGGAUGGAGCUGAAGCCAGUCGAAGAUACCAGCUGGCUGCAACUGUUUAAUAAAAACACAGCACUGUGCAAACACGAAAGUGGACGUAUACGGUGUGACGCCUGCCCGGUGCUGGAAGGUUAAUUGAUGGGGUCAGCCGCAAGGCGAAGCUCUUGAUCGAAGCCCCAGUAAACGGCGGCCGUAACUAUAACGGUCCUAAGGUAGCGAAAUUCCUUGUCGGGUAAGUUCCGACCUGCACGAAUGGCGUAAUGAUGGCCAGGCUGUCUCCACCCGAGACUCAGUGAAAUUGAACUCGCUGUGAAGAUGCAGUGUACCCGCGGCAAGACGGAAAGACCCCGUGAACCUUUACUAUAGCUUGACACUGAACAUUGAGCCUUGAUGUGUAGGAUAGGUGGGAGGCUUUGAAGCGUGGACGCCAGUCUGCGUGGAGCCAUCCUUGAAAUACCACCCUUUAAUGUUUGAUGUUCUAACUCUGCCCCGUGAUCCGGGGUGAGGACAGUGUCUGGUGGGUAGUUUGACUGGGGCGGUCUCCUCCCAAAGAGUAACGGAGGAGCACGAAGGUUAGCUAAUCACGGUCGGACAUCGUGAGGUUAGUGCAAAGGCAUAAGCUAGCUUGACUGCGAGAGUGACGGCUCGAGCAGGUACGAAAGUAGGUCUUAGUGAUCCGGUGGUUCUGAAUGGAAGGGCCAUCGCUCAACGGAUAAAAGGUACUCCGGGGAUAACAGGCUGAUACCGCCCAAGAGUUCAUAUCGACGGCGGUGUUUGGCACCUCGAUGUCGGCUCAUCACAUCCUGGGGCUGAAGUAGGUCCCAAGGGUAUGGCUGUUCGCCAUUUAAAGUGGUACGCGAGCUGGGUUUAGAACGUCGUGAGACAGUUCGGUCCCUAUCUGCCGUGGGCGUUGGAAGAUUGAGAGGGGUUGCUCCUAGUACGAGAGGACCGGAGUGAACGCACCACUGGUGUUCGGGUUGUCAUGCCAAUGGCAUUGCCCGGUAGCUAAGUGCGGAAAAGAUAAGCGCUGAAAGCAUCUAAGCGCGAAACUUGCCUCAAGAUGAGUCUUCCCUGGGCCUUUAAGGCCCCUGAAGGAACGUUUAAGACUAAGACGUUGAUAGGCUGGGUGUGUAAGUGCAGCGAUGCAUUGAGCUAACCAGUACUAAUGAUCCGUGAGGCUUAACCUUACAACACCGAAGGUGUUUUAG
rnacentral:rRNA from 1 species